rnacentral:rRNA from 1 species
UAUGAACGCUGGCGGCGUGCCUAAUACAUGCAAGUCGAGCGAAUGGAUUAAGAGCUUGCUCUUAUGAAGUUAGCGGCGGACGGGUGAGUAACACGUGGGUAACCUGCCCAUAAGACUGGGAUAACUCCGGGAAACCGGGGCUAAUACCGGAUAACAUUUUGAACCGCAUGGUUCGAAAUUGAAAGGCGGCUUCGGCUGUCACUUAUGGAUGGACCCGCGUCGCAUUAGCUAGUUGGUGAGGAAACGGCUCACCAAGGCAACGAUGCGUAGCCGACCUUAGAGGGUGAUCGGCCACACUGGGACUGAGACACGGCCCAGACUCCUACGGGAGGCAGCAGUAGGGAAUCUUCCGCAAUGGACGAAAGUCUGACGGAGCAACGCCGCGUGAGUGAUGAAGGCUUUCGGGUCGUAAAACUCUGUUGUUAGGGAAGAACAAGUGCUAGUUGAAUAAGCUGGCACCUUGACGGUACCUAACCAGAAAGCCACGGCUAACUACGUGCCAGCAGCCGCCGUAA